rnacentral:lncRNA from 1 species
UUCGCCUUGGCAUUUCUUGUUUUUGGUUGUACUGCACACACAAGUUCACUUAUCAUCUUGGUUUUCUUCACUGGACUCGAUGCUAUCGCCUCAUGAAACUCGAUAUCAGCUUCGGUUUCGACAAUUUUGACAGUGUGCACAGCUUCAGUUUCAGUUUCGAUAGUGUGCACAACUUCAGUUUCGACAGUGUGCACAGCUUCAGUUUCAGUUUCGACAGUGUGCACAACUUCAGUUUCGACAGUGUGCACAGCUUCAGUUUCGACACUUGCAGCACCAAACUGUUCCAUCCACUGACUUGUUUGCCUUCUGCUGCCACUCACUCUUGCUCUUUUUGUUGGCCAACACUGUUCGACAACAAUAGGCUGACUUGGAAGCUUCCUCCUGAAAACAACAAAGCAUGUCACAUAUUUAUAAUUUAAACAAAAUCAGAAUAUGAACAAACACAGAUAAACAAGCACAUACUUUCUCGGAUUAGGAGGAGAGAAAAUGCAUAGUCUGGAUCCCUCUCUGUGCCCAAGUAUUUGGCACCUUUUGCAUCUGUUUUUGUUACCCUUUUGAGCCCUUUUUGGCUUUGCAUCUGUCUUCUCCUUCUUGCCCUUCUUACUACUCCCACCUUUUUCAAACCAUGCUUUGAAUCUACUAUGUUUAGGUCUGUCUGCCUUUCUUUUUGUUAGAGGAGGACACAUGGAAUAUUCAAGCGGCACUUCUGGCCACUGUUCCUGAUCUGUAAGAGGUGGAAUUGGAGUUGCAUAUGCAGCUCUGAAUUUUGCAACCGAAUAAUACUCAUGCAGAUAUGGAUGCAUAUUUAUCUUUGGUUGGCCGGCUAAGAAUAGAAUGGCAUGAUCACAUGGUUUACCAGUGGCCUGCCAUUCGAGGCAACUGCAAUCAUGCAAUUCAGUGUUAACAACAUGCCUCCUUCCAGUCUUGUUAUCUCUAACUUCAGCACCCCACAGUGAUGAUUUUUCAAUAGACAAAUGUGUAAGACCUCUGCUUCUGUUGACCACCUGUUGCACCACUGCUGGAAGUUUAUCACCUUGCAGACAAUCAGCAAUCUUUUUUCUCAAUUCCCACAGCCGCAUGAGCAUGAUCCUGAUUUGAUCAACCAUGUCAUGCACAGGCAAAUCUUUUAGCUGCUUCACCUUGUUGUUGAAACUUUCUGCCAAAUUGUUGUUGAUAUGGUCACACUUGAUGGCAGUGUUGAAUCCUGACCUGUACCAUAAUAAAGAAUGGUAGGUGUUCAACCAUGUACCAAACUCCUCACAUGUUGCCGUUACCUUACUAAGAUGAUAUGAAUGUGUCUGUUUAGUGUAAGAUCUUGCUGCUGGCCACAUUCUCCCAAAUUCAUCUCCUCUGAAUUUUUUGAUCAAAUUCAUCCACAAAUGGCCGAAGCACUCCCUUUGCUCAGCAUGUGGGAACACAUUUUUAACUGCAUUUUCUAGACCUUUGCAUGCAUCUGUGUGUAUUGCCAAAGGUGACACUGGCCCUAAGCAUCUUUUCAACUGCAUCAUGAACCAUGUCCAUGAAGCCUCUGUCUCUGACUGAAACAAGCCAAUAGCAACUGGAAACAUCCAGUUAUGUCCAUCUAGAGCAUUACAUGCUGCCAACUGACCAUUUCACUUGCCUGUCAAAAAUGAUGAGUCUAUGCUCAAAUAUGGACGACAUCCUGCUUUGAAGCCAUCGAUGCAAGGCUUUAAAGCCAUAAAAAAUUUGGAGAAAUAAACCUUGCCAUCCUCUGAUACCUCAGUAUCUAUCUCGACAACACUGCCAGGUGACCUUUUCUCCACCUCUGCUUUGAAAUUGAAAAGCAGCCUAAAUGUGUUUGCCCAAUCACCAUACAAAUUCUUCAUUGCCAUUUGUUUAGCCUUCCACACUGUGGUAUAAUGCAGUUUAAUGGGGUACAACUUUUCCAAGUCUACUUGGAGUCUUUUUGCAGUAGUGUUGGGUGUUUUGGCCAAAAUUGAAGUUAUCUUUUCUGCAACCCAAAUUUGUGAUGUCAUGCUUGAUUUUUUCUGUGAACUUGUGAGACAAGUAUGUUUAUUAGGGAUUUGGUUAACCCUGACAGUACUUCCAUCAGGCUGCAGUCUAGCAGAUAUGUACCACUUGCAAGCCCUCCUACCACUACCAUCAAAACCUCUGCACUUAGCAUAAAACUUCUUUCUAUCAGUCCAAACUGUCUUGGCAUCAAACUGAUGUCUGACUGCAUAAGUCUUGAAAGACAACCUGAACUCAUCCAUGUUUGGCCACAACUUCCCCACUCGAAUGACAGGGUUUUCCUUGUCCUACACAUGCACUAGCUCUUCAUCAUGUGCAUCAUCUACAUCAUCUGCAGCAUCUUCCAUCAACUGUUCAUCUACAUCACUCAAUUCUCUGUCAUCAUUAUCACUUGUAUUAGCUUCAUCCCUCUCCUCCUCAUCUCUGUCAUCCACUGGAAUGCCAAAUAGUUUGGCCAUCUCAUUAUCAGCAAUUGGUGCAAUGACCAAAUCAGUAGACUCCUCCAACUCAACUGCAUUCCAAUCAACAACAUUAACAUUUCCCUCUUCUGCAUGUGCAUUAGCUCCAUCGGCUAUUACUGUUAGAUCCGUCAUAAUGGGAACGAUAUGCCUCUGCGAAGCCCAAUCAUCAUCUGCCUUCUGCAUAGCCAAGUGUGACGGCACAUAACCUACCUUCGAGUCAAUAUUCAGAUCAACGAGCUCAACAAAAAAUUCAGCCCUGAGGCUUGCCCAGCCCUCUUGCCUAUCGAUUUCAACAACAAUAUCUUCACCAUCUUCAAUUCUGACAUACUCUCCUUUGAAAUCAUCAUACCGCAAUAGUGAAACCUCUUGCUCUGGACCCCAAAGCACAGUUUCCCCAAUUUUCUCCACCAAUUUCCUCACUGCCUUCUCUUCCAUCGACUGUAUCUCAAUGGGAUCAAUUUCUGCACAAUCAACCUCCCAUUUCACAAUUGUGUCUCUCUGGAUGUUCUCAAUGCUACCAUCAACUAAUUUUGCCGUCGAUGGAAAGAAAUUGAUUGCAAAUUCAAAUGUUUCAGGAGCAGCAUUCCCUGCCCCUCUGUUAUAGGGGGCGCCCCUGUUAUAGGCGGGCGGGCAGCGUCAGACAGAGCAAAGAUUGCCUUCAAUCGCACUCACAAAAUGGGCGGGAAGGGAGGCGCAUUACCUGUUCGAAGCUGAAUCUGGCGGCUCCUUCUCGACCUGACCACAGGCUCCUCUCACCGCGCCGCCCCCUCUCACCUUCUAUCGAUUUCACCAAGCAAAACAGAGAGCUCUGAUCUACAAGGUGGAGGGGAUUGGGACUAGAGUAUCGAAUUCACUCACCACCAUGGCCGUCGCCGCCGCCGCCGAAAGGGGGCUACGCCGAGAAAGAGGGCUCCUCCGCCGUAGCCGCCGCCGGAGCUGAAGAUGUCGGGCAGUUUCGACAGCUCUAGUCGGGCAGUUUCACGAGAUGCGGUGCUAAUUAAUUUGGGCCCAAAUUAGGUAAGACAUGACUUAACGCAAAUUGGACUAGUUGACUAAGGUUUUAUCGCAUGUGUGGCCGUGAGCUAUUUUCUUCCUGCAAACCGUCGCACGAGAGCUAUUUCAUCGAACAACGUCCCAUUCCAUCCAAUUCGCAGGAAAGACGUCGCACAGGAGCUAUUGGC